UACGUAGGUGACAAGCGUUGUCCGGAUUUACUGGGCGUAAAGAGCGCGCAGGCGGUCGUUCAAGUCGAGUGUGAAAGCCCCCGGCUCAACUGGGGAGGGUCACUCGAUACUGAUCGACUUGAAGGCAGGAGAGGGAAGCGGAAUUCCCGGUGUAGUGGUGAAAUGCGCAGAUAUCAGGAGGAACACCAAUGGCGAAGGCAGCACUCUGGGACGGUAACUGACGGCUGAGACGCGAAGCGUGGGGAGCAAACAGG
rnacentral:rRNA from 1 species